AAACCAUAGCAACCCCUGCAUCACUUUGAGCAGUCAGUCACAGCUCACAGUUCAUGUUUUGGACUGCCGUGAUACGAAAAUACACUAAACUUGUGACCUUGGUGUUGCAAUGCUCUACCAGUUGAUCUCUCUCUGACUGAUAGACUGUAGAUUUUAUCCAGAGGCAAAGCUUGUGAGACAUAUGGAAGCUUUAGCAAACAGGAGACGAUUAAAAUAAAUGAGCCUAGAUUGAUCCCGAUACCCAGCAAGGGGAAGACUGAUGGGUAAAGGCACACGCAAGGGAUGAUUACGACUGUCCUUGCCGAUGACAAAUGGCACUGUAUUGUGCUGGAAAGCCACAGUUUUUUAUCCCUUGGCAUCAAAACACUUGGAAUAUCAUCGUCACCAUCCCUGUCACUAUUCUAUUGCCAGCAUUCUCCAUUGUGGAUGACAUUUGAUAU